rnacentral:rRNA from 1 species
AACGAACGCUGGCGGCAUGCCUAACACAUGCAAGUCGAACGAGACCUUCGGGUUUAGUGGCGCACGGGGGCGUGACGCGGGGGGACAUGCCCUUAGGUUCGGAAGAACUCCCCGAAAGGGGUGCUAAUACCGGCGAAUGUCUUCCGACCAAAGAGUUAUCGCCUUUGGAUGGGCCUGGGUUGGAUUAGCUUGUUGGUAGGGUAAAAGCCUACUAAGGCGACGUUCCAUAGCUGGUCUGAGAGGCUGAUCAGCCACACUGGGACUGAGACACGGCCCAGACUCCUACGGGAGGGAGGAGUGGGGAAUAUUGGAAAAUGGGCGAAAGCAUGAUCCAGCAAGGCCGCGUGAGUGAUGAAGGCCGUAGGGUUGUAAAGUUCUUUUACACGGGAUGAUAAUGACGGUACCGGGAGAAUAAGCUCCGGCUAACUCCGUG